UAAGGAUACCCAGUGGAAGAGACUUCGACAAAUACUGGUUUAGACCUCCUGACCUAUCUACUGCCAAGAGCUGCCACUCUGUCCUAGACCAGCAGCUCCCAAUCCCUGUGCAAUGGGACACCUGGGGACAUUUGACCAAAGAGAGUCAGCUGAUGGUACCCCUGAGAAUCUAAAUAAUUUCGUGUGGGGAGAAGUCUGGAGAUUGAAAAUUUAACCGCUUUCCAGAUAUUGCCAUCAAUUUAUGAGAAAAUUGAAGCUUCAUAAGGCUAAGCAACAAACCCCUGGUCACACAGGUGCAAGGGAUGUGCAAGGCUGAGGAGUCAGAGCCCUCUGAUUCCUAGAGCUGAAUUCCUGAGUCUACAAAACAUGCUUCUCCCAGGAACUUUCUCUCUUGGUCUGAAAGUUCUGUUACUGGUGGGCAGUCAACAAACCACAGUGAAAUGAACAAAAGCCACAAAGGAUCUCAAGGUCCUUUUCAGCAAAGACAUCCCCAAAUACUGCAAUGCACGGUUGUAAAAACAAAUAAUAGCAAACACCUGGAGAACUGCAUGGGUCAGAUUCACAUCAAGACUCGAUAUUAAUACCCCUUUGUUUGUGCUAAAAAUUCCUCUUUAAUUAACACGGUACCACUCUUGACAUUUAGACCUCAAUGAACUCCUUCGUUUACACUGGGCUUCCCCGUUGGCUCAGUGGGUAAAGCAGCUGCCUGCCAAUGCAGGAGACAUAAGAGACGCUGGGGUGGGAAUAUCCCCUGGAGAAGGAAAUGGCCACCCACUCCAGUAUUCUUGCCUGAAAAAUCCCACGGAGAGAGGAGCCUGGUGGGUUACAGCCCAAAGGGUCGCCAACAGUCAGACAUGACUGGGCAAGGAGACACAAGCACGAGAACUCUCCCACUUACAGUCUGGUUCUGCUCAAUGGCAGUAGAAGAGAGCAUGGAACACGCUGAAUGGUAACAUCGCUCUAUGGACGCUGUAAAGGGCCUGGGAGAUCCACCCACCGCCACUGCAAUGGGAAUACUGACCACUGAUGGAUCACACCAAGCUCCUCUCCAGGAACUGCCUUCAGCUGAAUAGAGCUGCCCUGCUGCAGAAUACAACCCUCCGGAGAAACGCCAGUAUUCAGGGAUUCAUUGCUAUGAGGAUCCCCAAUGCUUACAAUCAGCUCUACAGUGCCCUCCUGUGGCCUCACUUGCAAUUGUGUUGCAGCUAGAC
ensembl:lncRNA